GUGAAUCCCUAUCCACACUGACGUCAGCCUCACUUCCGAAGACUCGAAUCCACAAAACCCGUGAAAAUGUCAUGUUGGGAGCUCGAGAUUUGUCAAAUGUGCUCGAUAUUAUCACUUCAGCCCAACGGCAAUGGGAUUUAAACGAGAAAAAGGAAAAAGUGGCGGCUGUUCAUGCUACGAAUCUCUCGAAAGAUCAGUCUGGAGCCGCUGGUGGACAACAGCAACGUUCCGGUUAUUCUAGAUAUGCUCAGGAAGCUUUUGCUCAUGUAAGGGAGCCCCCUCCCCAAACUAUGUGAAAAUUUGAGAAAAAUUGGUGAAAAAUCGAUCUUUCUGCUAUUUUUCACGCAAAAAUUCGGAAAAUUUGAUCCAAAAAUUAUGAAAUUCGUGAAAACCGGCAAUUUUUUCCUAAAAAUUCAACAUUUUCACCAAAAACCCGCUAAAAAUGACGAAUUCGGAUACUGUAGCCCCGUUUCUGUGCAAACAACAACUACAGUAACCCAAAACACUGGAAUUCACGACAAAUUGCACAAAACUCAAAAACUGACGUAAAAAUGCGAUUUUUCACGCAAAAAUUCGAAAAUUUUGAUCCAAAUAAAUGAAAAAUUGAGAAAAGAUUCGAAUUUCAGUGAAAUUAUGUCCAAAAAUCUACUAAAAUUCAAUUUUUUCAGGAAAAAACCAAGGAAAUUCAAACGGAAGGCUCUUUUAUUGGAAGUAAUUUCAGCAGUAUCAAGCAGGGACAUCAUGCGGUACAAA
rnacentral:sRNA from 1 species